AGACCGAUAGCGAACAAGUACCGUGAGGGAAAGAUGAAAAGCACUUUGGAAAGAGAGUUAAACAGCACGUGAAAUUGUUAAAAGGGAAACGAUUGAAGUCAGUCGUGUGAAAGGUAUUCAGCCGUCUCUGGCGGUGUAUUUGCCUUUCACGGGUCAACAUCAGUUUGAUCCGGUAGAAAAAGGCGGGAGGAAGGUGGCACCCUCGGGUGUGUUAUAGCCUCCUGUCAUAUGUGCCGGACCAGACUGAGGAACGCAGCUUGCCGCAAGGCCGGGGUUCGCCCACGUACAAGCUUAGGAUGUUGACAUAAUGGCUUUAAACGACCCGUCUUGAAACACGGACCAAG
rnacentral:rRNA from 1 species